UCAAUAAAUAGGGAGUCAUUAUAUAGAAC
rnacentral:piRNA from 1 species